GAUGAACGCUGGCGGCGUGCCUAAUACAUGCAAGUCGAGCGAACAGACGAGGAGCUUGCUCCUCUGACGUUAGCGGCGGACGGGUGAGUAACACGUGGAUAACCUACCUAUAAGACUGGGAUAACUUCGGGAAGCCGGAGCUAAUACCGGAUAAUAUAUUGAACCGCAGGGUUCAAUAGUGAAAGACGGUUUUGCUGUCACUUAUAGAUGGUUCCGCGCCGCAUUAGCUAGUUGGUAAGGUAACGGCUUACCAAGGCGACGAUGCGUAGCCGACCUGAGAGGGUGAUCGGCCACACUGGAACUGAGACACGGUCCAGACUCCUACGGGAGGCAGCAGUAGGGAAUCUUCCGCAAUGGGCGAAAGCCUGACGGAGCAACGCCGCGUGAGUGAUGAAGGUCUUCGGAUCGUAAAGCUCUGUUAUUAGGGAAGAACAAAUGUGUAAGUAACUAUGCACGUCUUGACGGUACCUAAUCAGAAAGCCACGGCUAACUACGUG
rnacentral:rRNA from 1 species